AGAGUUUGAUCCUGGCUCAGGAUGAACGCUAGCGGCAGGCUUAACACAUGCAAGUCGAGGGGCAGCGGGGAGGAAGCUUGCUUUCUCCGCCGGCGACCGGCGCACGGGUGAGUAACACGUAUGCAACCUGCCCCUGUCAGGGGGACAACCCGCCGAAAGGCGGGCUAAACCCGCGUACAUGCCACCGGGGCAUCCCGGAGGCAGGAAAGGCUUCGGCCGGACAGGGAUGGGCAUGCGGCGCAUUAGGCAGUAGGCGGGGUAACGGCCCACCUAACCGACGAUGCGUAGGGGUUCUGAGAGGAAGGUCCCCCACACUGGUACUGAGACACGGACCAGACUCCUACGGGAGGCAGCAGUGAGGAAUAUUGGUCAAUGGUCGGGAGACUGAACCAGCCAAGCCGCGUGAGGGAUGAAGGUACAGAGUAUCGUAAACCUCUUUUGUCAGGGAACAAAGGCGGGGACGCGUCCCCGGAUGAGUGUACCUGAAGAAAAAGCAUCGGCUAACUCCGUGCCAGCAGCCGCGGUAAUACGGAGGAUGCGAGCGUUAUCCGGAUUUAUUGGGUUUAAAGGGUGCGCAGGCGGUCUGUUAAGUCAGCGGUCAAAGCCCGGGGCUCAACCCCGGCCCGCCGUUGAAACUGGCAGUCUCGAGUUGGAGAGAAGUAUGCGGAAUGCGCGGUGUAGCGGUGAAAUGCAUAGAUAUCGCGCAGAACUCCGAUUGCGAAGGCAGCAUGCCGGCUCCACACUGACGCUGAGGCACGAAAGCGUGGGUAUCGAACAGGAUUAGAUACCCUGGUAGUCCACGCAGUAAACGAUGAAUGCUGGCUGUCCCGGGGGACUGACC
rnacentral:rRNA from 1 species